AGAUGUGCAGAAGGGAAAAUCGAAAGCCAAGUGACUUUGAGAAAAGGACAUACACUUCCAGCUUGAUGUGGACUCUGCGCCAUGCCAGUUCCCGUAAACGUCGACAGGUCUCAGUGGUGGUGACUUCAGGGUGCAUAUGGAUAGACAGGACACUUGGUCAGCCAGAAAGCUUGUGCUGCUGAGUGAAGAAGGCAGAUUUGGUGCAUUGGAAGACAGCAACUGCAGAUGCAGAGGAACUGGAAGGGAAUCACAGCUGGUCAUGCCAAAGGGGCAGCCCAACCUAUGUUCAUUCAGCAACCAUGGCAGUUUCUCUACAUCUGUUUUCAAUUCGAGCUCCAGGUCAUGUUUUUCAGUUAGAAUAAAAUGUGAAAACUAUAAAAUAGACCCCCCUAAUUUCUUUUCCCAUAUCCCUUCCUCAUGAUCUUUUAUCUUCUUGAAUGAAGGAGUAUCAAGGUUAUUGAGCUGAGAAGUGGAAACUAGUGGACUUUUUUAAAGGCAAGACAGAUAAUAUCAGAUUUGAUAUGAUAGGCAUGAGAAAUACAUAAAAAGUAAUUACAGACUUUCAAAAAGUGCCUUUACACUUUUCUAGUGAUAAGCCUUUACAGUCAAACACCGAUGCCUCCCCUCAUUACCAAAAGCUAAAUUUAAAGGAGCUACACGGAAUGCUAACUAAGCAUAGUAAAAUGGUCAUCAUCAUCACAACAGAGUUUUUAUCAGGUGGAAAUUCUUUGUCUCUGUGCUCAAACCUAAAGAUCCUCUAAUUUUUGUCACUCCCUUCACUAGCUCACCUCUGCCAGUGUGACUAUUUUCAUGCAUGCCACUUGAAGGUUGACUCUUCUCUUAGAUUGUCCUUUUGGCAUACACUGAUUGCAGUAAAUACCAUCUUGCACUUUGGAGCCUGUGAAACACUCUUCACUUCUUGGCCACACUCCAUCCAUGUUCCUAUCUAAACUAUAAAUUACUUAACGGUAGAAAAGUUGUCUUAUUUUUCCUGCUUUUCUCCUCAGUGACAGUGUUUACUCAAAUCUAGAAUUUAAAAUAAGCAGAAAAGUGUUAAAAGUAUUUUGUUUGUCUAGUAAUAAUAUAUAGACCUUUUUUUUUUAUUUAAAAUGAGUUAAUGUAAGUCAAGCAUUUAUACCAGUGCCUGACAUAUAGGAAUGACUAUACUGCUCUUAUUGCCAUUAUCAUAAUUACUUGUAUAUAACCUACAAGUUGAUACAUAAAAUUUUCAUUACAAGCUCUUGAUUUCUUGAGACCUUCAGCUCCUGGCUACACCAUAAGCAUGAAAUAAUCCAUGCUUUACAAGCCAUCUGGGUACAUGUGGACUUUUUUCCUAUGUUCUGUAUCACUAUGUAGGCAGACAAUUGCCCAGAAUUUCAUUAGCUUUAAAAAUAAAAUACAAAAAACAUGCAAAACACUUUAAGACUAAAGGUAAUAUAUUAUGCAUGGGGACAGGAACUGUGUCUCUUUUACUAUACUCCCAAACACUAACAUGACAUCAGGCAUCUACUAGAGGCUCAACAAAUAGAUGUGGAAUAAAUGAAUAAAUAAGUAAGAAAAAAGUGACUCUAUUUGAAGGAGAAGAAAGGAAAUAAAAGGAGAAAGAAGAAAGAGAGGAAGAAAUAAAGAGAGAAAGAAAAAAGCUGAAUGAAGAGCCAUGAUUUUGCUUAUUGUGGAACGAAUGGCAGGUAGUUGAUACAUUUCCUAAUUCUUGAGCAGUUUUGGCUCAGACUCUGAGUACUUAAGUAAAGAUCCCAAAAUAUUUUUCCCAACAUGACCUUUUCAAUGCUAUUACAUGGAUUUAUCCUUCUCCUGUUCCAAUAGUUCUCUACAGCAAAAGUUCCGUGUUAUAAGUAUGACCUCUGCUCUGUUCUGCAGAGCACACCUCACAUGCCUACCUUAGUCCCUGUGCCUACUUCUGACUUCAGGCAAAGACCGAGCAGACAGUUCUGUGCCAGCUCUGACUCACUUUGCCCUGACAGAGUCAUGCCUCAGGCAUACAAGUCUCAAGUCUUUCCUCAUCUGGCCUCAAUUUUUUUUUCUAUGCCCCAAGAAUAGCUUGAUUGUCCCAUGCUCAGCUGUGGCUUGGAAAUGCCAAACAGUAAAUGCUCUUGGUGGGUAAUCCUCAACCAAAGACAGAUGGGAGCCAAUUGGCAGCUGAUUCUCCUCCCAUACUUUUUUUAUAUGGACCGUUCUCAUCAGUCUUUCACACAGUUCCCACAGCAACCAUAGUAGAAGCCUCAAUAAACCUGAGAUUGGCUUUAUCUCCUUCCCUUACCUGUUCUCAGUUGCUUCCUGUGAUAGACUCUCAAAUUAAUUACCUGUAGUCAAGCCCCCAAAUUAGUCACCUCUGUAUCUAAUAUUUUUCUUUUCUUUCUUAAUAUACAAAUAUUACAUAACUAUGUAUAUAUAUAUACAUAGAUACGUGUGUGUACAUAUAUUUUCUCCCUCCAUAC
rnacentral:lncRNA from 1 species